rnacentral:lncRNA from 9 species
GGACUUCCCGUGUGGCUCACAACAUAACUACUUGGCGUUGCUUCUACAGUGGCUGCUAGGGGUCUAAUCGGAGCUGUAGCCACUAGCCUACGCCAGGGCCACAGCAACGCAGGAUCUGAGCCACAUCUGCAACCUACACCACAGCUCAUGGCAACGCCGGAUCGUUAACCCACUGAGUAAGGGCAGGGACCGAACCCGCAACCUCAUGGUUCCUAGUCGGAUUCGUUAACCACUGCGCCACGACGGGAACUUCGGAAAGUGAGGACAAGAUGGCGGAGGAGUAGGGGGACACGCUCGCCCUCUCCCACAAACACAACAAAAAAAGCACAUCUACAGAAGAAAUGACUCGCACAGAACAACAACCAAUCGCUGGCAGAGGAACCUAAUCUCCAAUAACGGCAAGAAAUUCGUGACAUUAUUGGGCAGAACGGGAGAAAAGAGGAGAGUGAGAGAAGGUGAAUCCGAGCGGGACGGGCGCUCCCGAAAGGGAACUGCGGAGGGGAAAGGGAUCCCGCACCCUGGAAAGUCACCUACCGGGCGAAAGAUCAAACGAACCGGAGGAAUCUCCAGAUGCAGAGAAGAGUGUAGCAGUAAGUUGGAGUACGGAAAAACGAUCAAGAACCCAACGGACCAUCUGAACUACGGGCACAGUCACCAAAAAUUGAGACGCCUGGGUGGGGGCUGGGCACCGAAUCCUCGGCUCCAGAGGUUAGUCCCCGGGAAAGGGCCGGGGGACGCCUGGGUGGGGGCUGGGCACCGAGACCUCAGCUCUGAAGGUUGGUCCCCGAGAGGGGGCCGGGGACGCCUGGGUUGGGGCUGGGCACCGAGACCUCGCCUCCGAAGGUUAGUCCCCAAGAAAGGGCCGGGGGACGCCUGGGGGGGGGGCUGGGCACCGAGACCUCGGCUCCAGAGAUUAGUCCCCGGGCUAGGGGGGCGGGGAAGAGCGGAAACUGCUUGGGAGGUCUCUAAACCAUUUGACGGGGCAGAGACUGCCUGGGAGACUAGAAAACAAAGCUGUCGCAGAGGAAGGGAGCAAUACUCUAGGGGCGGGGAAGUGGAAAGCCGCCUCAGAGGGAACCUGGGAGAAGAGCCUGGUCUGCGCCAGUGCUGGGGAGGGGAGAGAAGAAGGGGUGGGUCCCCAUAGAAUACCCCCACGCCACAACAAGCUUACAGGCCCGCUAGCUAGCAGAAAGCUGUGCUUCCCAGUGCAUUCCCUCCCCCCACCCCCACCACCCCCUACGCUCUCGCCGAACCUGGGGCUGCCUGCCAUCCAGGAGGGCUGGCCUCAACAAUUGCCUGAAGCCUACCACCGCAGGGGCUCUCCCUGCACAGGCCUGCUUGCCCUUUGGAGGGGCUACACUUCCACAGAGCAGCACCAAACACCACCAGCCCCCUAAAAAAGGCCUGCAGCCCAGAAAAGCUAGAACAAGCCUAGCCAGGCCGUGAAUAGAUCGACCUAAUUCUCUGACGGUUUUUCUGAGACGGGCUCCCCCGGGGAGGAGCCUCUUGAGUCUCCAAGGGCCUUGCUACA